CGGAGGGUGCGAGCGUUGUCCGGAUUUAUUGGGUUUAAAGGGUGCGUAGGUGGCUUUAUAAGUCAGUGGUGAAAUACAGCCGCUUAACGGUUGAGGUGCCAUUGAUACUGUAGAGCUUGAACAAUUGGAGGCUGCCGGAAUGGAUGGUGUAGCGGUGAAAUGCAUAGAUAUCAUCCAGAACACCGAUUGCGAAGGCAGGUGGCUACGUUUGAUUUGACACUGAGGCACGAAAGCAUGGGGAGCAAACAGGAUU
rnacentral:rRNA from 1 species